UGAGGAAUAUUGGUCAAUGGGCGAGAGCCUGAACCAGCCAAGUAGCGUGCAGGAUGACGGCCCUAUGGGUUGUAAACUGCUUUUAUGUGGGGAUAAAGCGCGUGACGUGUCAUGCAUUGCAGGUACCACAUGAAUAAGGACCGGCUAAUUCCGUGCCAGCAGCCGCGGUAAUACGGAAGGUCCGGGCGUUAUCCGGAUUUAUUGGGUUUAAAGGGAGCGUAGGCUGUCUAUUAAGCGUGUUGUGAAAUAUACCGGCUCAACCGGUGGCUUGCAGCGCGAACUGGUCGACUUGAGUAUGCAGGAAGUAGGCGGAAUUCAUGGUGUAGCGGUGAAAUGCUUAGAUAUCAUGACGAACUCCGAUUGCGCAGGCAGCUUACUGUAGCAUAACUGACGCUGAUGCUCGAAAGUGCGGGUAUCAAACAGG
rnacentral:rRNA from 1 species